UUUCUGAUUUAGCAAACUAAACGGCUAAAACCUUCUGUUUCUCUCGCGUAUUAAUUUACAGUGUUUUCAAAACCCUAAACCUUGUAACUGGAAAGAAUCAGAAAUCGAAAGAGUCAGAGUAAGAAUCAAAUCAGAGCUUCUGACCUGCGUCUCUCGUCGGAGAUUCAAAAGCCAAAAGCAAUUACGGCGGUUGUGUUCGUUGUCUCUGCAAUACCCACUUCCAUUUUUCUAUACGCCAACGGUAAAAACUCUUUUUUCGUUUUCUCUAAGCGCAUAAAUAUUAGCCAAUAAUGAUUAGUGUUAUUCAUCAUUGCAAAAUAUUAGGAAGUGUAAAAUGCAAAAUCUUUUCCCUUCCAAAUUCCACAUUUUUAUUCUUAUCAUCUCUUAGAGCCAUUUCAAGUAAUGCAAUUAAUACUGAAAACUCUUACGUAGUGUCUUACCUCAUAAAUAAUUGUGGAUUAUCUUCAAAAUCUGCUCUUUCAGCUUCUAAGUGUCUCAAUUUUGAAACCCCAGAUAGACCAGACUCUAUUAUUGCCUUUUUGGAGAGCCAUGGAUUUUCAAAUACCCAAAUCACGAAACUUAUACGUACACGACCAUCAUUGCUUUUGUCAGAUCCUGAGAAAACCUUUUUGCCCAAAAUCCGAUUUUUUCACUCUAAAGGAUUUACAAACCCUGAUAUUGCCAAAAUUUUAUCUACAUGCCCUGAUAUCUUACAUAGUAGCUUACAAAACCAAAUAAUCCCUGCAUUUAAUGCUAUCAGAAAUUUAGUUCCAUCUGAUGAGAAAGCUAUUCUUGCUAUAAAACGAUAUCCAGGUGUAUUGCCUCGUUACAAAUUCUAUGUAUUACCUAAUAUCAAAAUUUUGCAAGAAACUGGAUUGCCAAAGUCAAGUAUUGCUUGGCUAGUUAGAUAUCAACCUUCAACAUUAAUAACGACAUCAGAACAAUUUGCUAAAAUUGUAGAAGAGACUAAAAAAAUGGGGUUGAAUCCUUUGGUUUUGAACUUUGUUGUUGCAAUCCAUGCAAUAAGAGGAUUCAGCAAAUCCACAUGGGAAAAGAAAAUUGAUAUUUAUAAGAAAUGGGGUUGGUCCAAGGAAGAGAGUAUUAUGGCCUUUGGGAAGCAUCCUUGGUGUAUGAUGGCUUCUGAGAAAAAGAUCAUGGCGAUGAUGGAUUUCUAUAUCAACAAAAUGGGUCAGGAUUCUUCAUAUAUUGCACAAUCUCCAGUACUCCUCUCACUCAGCCUGGAGAAAAGAGUUAUGCCACGGUGUUCAGUCUUAAAGUUUCUGUGGUCAAAACGUCUAAUCAGGCCAGCUAACUUACUAUGGCCAUUGUUGAUUUCUGAAGAGAGGUUCCUAUGUAAGUUUGUGACGCCUUAUGAAGAGGAAGCUCCCCAUCUGUUGAAGUUAUAUCAGCAAAAGUCGAAUCUUCCAAGAUAUGAGGACAUGGAGAAAGGGGAUUGAAGCAAUUAUGGGAGCUAUUGUCGUAUGUUUUCUCGCCAAUCCUUUAUCAAUAUAAUUAUUCAUGUUUUGCACAACUUUGAAUGCAGUUGAUGAGAUUGAUCCCAAGAUCGAUUUAUUCUGAUCAAAUGAUUGAUCUGUAUUUGAUUGCAUUUCUUUGUUUUUCUUUGAUGAUAGUUGAUGAGAUGAAAGCUCAAGGAUUAACUAGGGAUCAUGUACUGUGUUUAUUUUUGCAUAUUAUUAUUCUGGCAUAUAUUAUUUUUUGUCUCAUCAAGUUUAUAUAAUGAAUGGUGUUAAAAGGAAAAAAGUUCAUUAUUUUUGCAGGGUAAGCUGGCUAUGGUGCUUGACAUCAUUGAGGUGCAUUAAGGAAAUCAUUGGAGAGAGAUUGAGUAGCUGACAGAUUGAUAAGGAAGGGCAACUGUAAAAUCUCUCAAUUUCAGAUGAUGAAUAAUUUAUGAAAUUGUUUUUUCUAGUUACACUCAGAUAUUGUCAGUUCUGAUUCAGGAUAGGAUUUUUACCAUUAAAGUUAAGCAUGUAGCAGAGCUUGAUGGAGAAUUCGAGAAGAAUAGACGUUCAACUGCAGGAACAAUAAUCAAUGCAGAAUUGCAGAUUGAAUUUUUAUGAUGUUUAACUUUAAGAAUUUAGGCUACUUGUAAUGGAAUAUAAUGUAAUUGGUAACAUUUCUAGUGAUAGUGCAUUUGAUAACAUUAUAUUUCA